GAUAUGUUUUUAUUUUGCCAACAUUACAACUGUGUUUAACAUCGAUGGAGGAAGACCCUAGUUACUGCUAUCACGGCCUAUAGUAAUGUGUGUGUGUGUGUGUGUGUGUGUGUGUGUGUGUGUGUGUGUGUGUGUGUGUGUGUGUGUGUAUUUUAAAAGAGGAAAUUUGCAGUUUAUACGAACAUUUCCUGUGCAUCAUUUGCCUGCCUGUUUAUCUGUUUGUGUUUGUGUGUUUGUGCUUGUGUGUAUGUAUUUAUGUAUGUGCGUAUGUGUGUGAACCUGUGUAUGUGUACCUGUGUGUAUUUAUAAUUAUGCAUACAGUAUAUACACGUGUACGCAGACAUUACUGCCUAUAUAUUACAAACACACAAACAUAUAUACGUCUUUGUUUGAUACAGCGUUGUGGAGAAACAGACACUCACACAAACUCUCUCUCUCUCUCUCUCUCUCCUCAGGUAGGAAUGAGGUCAGAGGUACACUUUGGUAUGUAUUUAUAACUAUGUACAUGUAUGAAUGAAACAACGAAACAAAAACAUAACUCACAGGUCAAUCAUAUAACUUGUGAAGGUAAAACAGUUAGUCCAGCCAUAGAGAAUCGAAUGAAACAAAACAUAGACUACUGAAUACCACUUAACAGGAUUUAACUCUACAACUGAGGGCGACAGGGACACGCCACACCUGAAAUCAACAACAAAUUUUACCUGGACGAAGAAAAGAGAAACCAGCGACAUCUUAACCUUCUAAAACCGAGACGAACGAAGACAACUUAGAAUCAGCAGUAUAAGAUAAGGUUGGUAAGUCGGUGAACAUGUGAAUAGCCGAGACAUGGACGAAUUAGGAGUAUAAAGAAACGUUCAUAAUUCGGUAGGCAUGUAGAUAGCGAAGACAAACGUAAACAACGCUGAAAAUUCGGUAAACAUGUAAAUAGCAAAGACAUGAACGAGUCAACAUACAAUCAGUAUUAAAAGAAACGCGGAUUAUUCGGUAAAAAAUGUGAAUAGCGAAUACGUAGCAUGAAAUAUCAAACUUUCUCAACGUAGAAGAGAGAACGAGAGAAAAUAAAUAUAUUACAGGUUUGCUAUAACGAAGACAACGUAGUGCAAUUAAAAAUGAAAUAAAUGCUGAUAAUUCGGUAGCUGUAGGUGUGGAUAGCGAAUACAGAAGACGAAAUAUCAAAGCUACUCAACGAAAACAAAAUAACGAGGAAAAAUAAGUAUGUUACAGAUGUAUUAUACUCGCGAAUUUUACUUUGUGUGGUUGAAAGGUUGGUAAUUCUGUAAAGAUGUGAAGAGCGAAUACAUAUAACGAAAUACCAUACCAACUUAUCCUAAACAAGAACACGAGAAGAUAAGAAGUUACAAAUGUUUUAUACUCGCGAAUUUUAACUUUGUGUGGUUGAAAGGUUGAUAAUUCGGUAAAGAUGUGAAAAGUGAAUACACAAGACGAAAUAUCAAACCUACUCAAACCUACUCUGCCCCCCAAAAAAAUGGUGUUUCAAAGGGAUUUCCUACAAGACAUCACUGGAAGAAAGGAAAAUUUGACCCUUUACAUCUUGGCAUUAUUUUCCUUCAUUCUCAACGUAAACGAAAAAACGAAAAAAAGAAGUUUAAACGUUUCAAAUUUACUACCCUUGCGAAUUUUAACUUUGUGUGGUUGCAAGGUUGAUAAUUCGGCACAGACGUGAAGAGCAAAUACAUUGAACGAAAUACCAAACCUACUCAACGUAAACGAGAAAACGAGAAAGAAAGUAUGUUACAAAUUUACUAUACUUGCGAAUUUUUACUUUGUGUGGUUGCAAGGCUGAUAAUUCGGUAUAGACAUGAAGAGCAAAUACAUAGAACGAAAUAGCAAACCUACUCAACGUAAACGAGAAAAUGAAAAAGAAAGUGUGUUACAAAUUCCCUUAAACUUUGUGUGGAAAAAAUGCUUAACCUAGCCUUAAGUUUAGGUGUAUAUAUACAAGCGUUCAGCAGUCCGUUUAGGUCACACAAUUACACGUAAAAAGAUUAGUAAUGGAACUUAUCAAACAUUUCCGAAAAAAAAGGAAUGAAAAGGAAUAAAAAGGGAAGAAAACAGGAAUAAAAUAGGAAUAAUAAAGGAAUAAAAAAAA